GAGAGUUUGUAACACCCGAAGUCGGUGAGGUAACCGUAAGGAGCCAGCCGCCUAAGGUGGGAUAGAUGAUUGGGGUGAAGUCGUAACAAGGUAGCCGUAUCGGAAGGUGCGGCUGGAUCACCUCCUUUCUAAGGA
rnacentral:rRNA from 1 species